UGUGGAGUCGCAGAGACAACCAGGAGGUUGGCUUAGAAGCAGCCACCCUUGAAAGAGUGCGUAAUAGCUCACUGGUCAAGUGGUUCUGCGCCGACAAUGUAGCGGGGCUCAAGCGUACCGCCGAAGCUGUGGCAUUCAUGCGUCAACUAGGCCUUCGUGGUCCAGGUGCGUGGAUGGGUAGGGGAGCGUCGCGUGGCGAGUGAAGCGGCGGGGUGACCCAGUCGUGGACGCCACGCGAGUGAGAAUGCAGGCAUGAGUAGCGAAAGACGGGUGAGAAACCCGUCCGCCGGAUGACCAAGGGUUCCUGGGCUAGGCUAAUCCGCCCAGGGUAAGUCGGGACCUAAGGCGAGGCCGACAGGCGUAGUCGAUGGACAACGGGUUGAUAUUCCCGUACCCGCUACGACACGCCCAUGUCCAGGCCGGUGAUGCUAAGCGACGGA
rnacentral:rRNA from 1 species